rnacentral:lncRNA from 1 species
GCACUCAACAUCUGCCACCUAAUUGACCUAAUAAGAAUAAACAUAUUGGCACAAAAUAAGUAUUCAUAUUACAAUAUGAAAAUUAUCUUUGACUAUGAAUUAAUAAUGACUACCUCCACAACUUCUAUACUAUGAUGGAAAUUAGGAUCUACUUCAAUUGGAUGGGGCUCUUCACCUACAAUAAAAUACUUUACCCUCAUCUAAUAAUGAAGAUU